rnacentral:rRNA from 1 species
CCUACGGGAGGCAGCAGUGGGGGAUAUUGGACAAUGGGGGGAACCCUGAUCCAGCGACGCCGCGUGCGUGAAGAAGUAUUUCGGUAUGUAAAGCUCUGUCAGCAGGGAAGAAAGAAAUGACGGUACCUGACCAAGAAGCCCCGGCUAACUACGUGCCAGCAGCCGCGGUAAUACGUAGGGGGCAAGCGUUAUCCGGAAUUACUGGGUGUAAAGGGAGCGUAGACGGUUAAGUAAGUCUGGUGUGAAAGGCCGGGGCCCAACCCCGGGACUGCUCUGGAAACUAUUGAACUUGAGUGCAGGGGAGGUAAGCGGAAUUCCUAGUGUAGCGGUGAAAUGCGUAGAUAUUAGGAGGAACACCAGUGGCGAAGGCGGCUUACUGGACUGUAACUGACGUUGAUGCUCGAAAGCGUGGGGAGCGAACAGGAUUAGAUACCCUGGUAGUC